rnacentral:pre_miRNA from 1 species
AGUGGGAUAGCUGGGUCAAAUGGUGGUUUUAUUCCAAAUUUUCUAAGGAAUCUCCAUACUGCUUUCCAUAUUGGCUGCAUCAAUUUGCAGUCCCACCAGCAAU